rnacentral:rRNA from 1 species
AACGAACGCUGGCGGCGUGCCUUAAGCAUGCAAGUCGAACGAAAAAUAUCUUUUGAUAUUUUUAGUGGCAAACGGGUGAGUAACACGUAGCUUAGUCACCCCAAAGUGAGGGAUAGCCAUGGGAAACCAUGGGUAAUAUCUCAUAAUACCUACGGGUUAAAGUUUAAUACGCUUUGGGAGAUGGCUGCGGUUCAUCAGGUAGUUGGUGGGGUAAUGGCCUACCAAGCCUAUGACGAAUAUCCGGCCUGAGAGGGUGAUCGGACACAUUGGAACUGAGAUACGGUCCAGACUCCUAUGGGAGGCAGCAGCUAGGAAUUUUCCGCAAUGGACGAAAGUCUGACGGAGCAACGCCGCGUGAAGGAUGAAGGCCCUAGGGUUGUAAAGCUCUUUCAACGGUGAAGAUAAUGACGGUAACCGUAGAAGAAGCCCCGGCUAACUUCGUGCCAGCAGCCGCCGUAACAC